CCCGUGCUUGGAAGAGCAGUUACCAAAUAGGCUUGGGUAAAACCGGACAGGCCAGGAGCGGGGCCUUAGCACUCUGGUGUCUGCUCCUGUGGCUGUGGGAUGCAUUGGAGGCAGCAGGAUUUCGGGUGGAGAUGGCAGGGAGGACUCAGACCGUGUUUCUCAACGACAACAUCACCAUCACCUGCAAGAUCCCUGGUUCUCCCGCUCUGGACAUCAGCACUGUGGGUGUUGUCUGGUUUGUGAGGAAAAAGGAACAGAGGAGAAAGUUCCUGUGUUUGAGUAUUAUGGAGAUCACGAGAAGGCAUACCGAACUGGAGCCAACAUCUCUCCGGAGAAGCUGAUGAGGGGAGAGGCCUCACUGCACCUGCCAGCCAUUCAGCUCAGUGAUGCUGGAGAGUACUUCUGUAAGGUGGUGGUCACCCCUGAGAUGGAUGAGAAAAGUGUGCAGCUGGAAGUUGUGGGUGAGUGCCUGAGGGCAAUGCCCGGGAUCCCGUGGGGCUGCAGGUGCAGAGUGGGAUGGAUGUUAGAGGCUGGUCUGGGGACCCACCGUGGGCUAGAGAGCUGGGCUUUGGUGGGUGGUGAGAUGACUCUGGGCAAGGUGUGAAGCCUCUGAAUCUCGGUGCCCUUGCUAGAAACAAAUGUGAUGGCAUCU